rnacentral:rRNA from 1 species
GUCCACGCUGUAAACGAUGUGUGCUAGACGUUGGGGAGCCUAGCUCUUCGGUGUCGCAGCUAACGCUUUAAGCACACCGCCUGGGGAGUACGGCCGCAAGGUUAAAACUCAAAGGAAUUGACGGGGGCCCGCACAAGCGGUGGAGCAUGUGGUUUAAUUCGACGCAACGCGAAGAACCUUACCAGCCCUUGACAUGUCCGGUAUGGUCCGUGGAGACGCGGUCCUUCAGUUCGGCUGGCCGGAGCACAGGUGCUGCAUGGCUGUCGU